AUGAGUCCUUGGAGAGCCACUUUGGUAAGUUUAGGGACGGGAGGAAAAAAAAAAAAAGUUGUCCGGCUGCAGAGCGAGCGGCGUCCUACAGGGGCCGGGCUGCCCACGUCGGGGGGCACGAGGCGCCGCCGGCUCGGACGUCCGCGAGGCCGACUCCGGAGCUUGGGGCCUCGGGCGCAGGCCCAGCGGCGGCGGAGCGCGCGGGGCGUCCGGGGGGGGGUGAGUGAGGGGCCGGCUCCUCCGGGCACCUCCGGCCCCAAGGAACGGGGGGGGUCACCCCCUGGGAGCAAGGAGCGCGGUGCGGCGGGUCCGGGCUGUCGGGUGAGGAGCGGAGCCCCGGUCCCCGGCCCGGGCGGGAGCGAGCGGAGCCGGGGAGGNCCCAAGGAACGGGGGGUCACCCCCUGGGAGCAAGGAGCGCGGUGCGGCGGGUCCGGGCUGUCGGGAUCCAGUACUACACCACCUACAGACAAGCGUACUGCAUGGAACAACAGCCCGUCUACAAGUGCUGCCCUGGUUGGAGCCAGUGGGACAAUGAACCUGGCUGCCUAUGCUGCGGUGGGAACAUGUUUCAAUGGAAGGAGGUGCUCAGACCGUGAGGCCAGCAGAGCCAGUGUUCAGAGGGUUUUCAAGGCCCCCACUGUCAAUAUGAUCUCCAACAAAUGCCAGCAUUAA
ensembl:lncRNA